rnacentral:rRNA from 1 species
CANAGGAAUUGACGGGGGCCCGCACAAGCGGAGGAACAUGUGGUUUAAUUCGAUGAUACGCGAGGAACCUUACCCGGGUUUGAACGUAGGGAGACAGGAGUGGAAACAUUCUAUUCAGCAAUGACUGCCUACGAGGUGCUGCAUGGUUGUCGUCAGCUCGUGCCGUGAGGUGUCGGCUUAAGUGCCAUAACGAGCGCAACCCUUAUUUCCAGUUACUAACAGGUGAUGCUGAGGACUCUGGAUAGACUGCCA